rnacentral:rRNA from 1 species
UCGAGUCUUUGAACGCAAGUUGCGCCUGAGGCCAAUAGGCCAAGGGCACGUCUGCCUGGGCGUCAAGCGUUUUGUAGCUCUGUGCAGCUCCAUCUUGCCAACGGGCAUGUUGGACGAUGCUUGGAUGCGCAUAUUGGCUCGUCGUGGUCAUUAGUGCG